GCCAUUUUUCCUACUUGGAAGUUUGUUGAUGCUGGAAUGCUGAAUGAUGAAGCAGAAAAUGGCAGAAUUACCUUUAAGCCGUCUAACCUGCGACUCACCUGCAUAUGUGUGUAUGUUGGAUGAAAAUUAAGAUCGAAUUAAAACACAAGGGAGACAAGCCUGGGAAAAUACGGGGGGUUAUUGCAGAUGGAGGGUAACAUAGAUCAGGUCACAGGGUUCGUGGGAGAAUAAUUUGUAGGAGGAUAAAGGAAUGUUAGGAUAUGGAGAGAGGGGGGGGGGGGGCAUGAGAAUACUCUGAGCUGCUGGGUGAAUAUGGUGUGGGGCUGAGAGAACCAGAAGCAGGGCUAAAGCCAUGGUCAACCCCAGAGAUAGCCAUGUCCUCAUCAGAAGAAUUCCCAGGAAAAAAACCAGAGGGUGUCUCUGUUUGAGUAGAAACAGCCACGGAAACCGUGGCAGGUGUUAUCCGGAACCGUAAGGGGGGGACCACAAACAUCAGGGUCAGCAGUGAGGGCUUCAACUAGCAGAGACAGAUCUGCUGAAAGGUGCUCUAAUUGAUAGCAUGCGUUUAGGUCCAGGCCUGUGUCCUGGAAGGAAGGAGGGAGAAAACGUAACAUUGUGACAUUUGCCUCAGGCGUGAGCAGAACCUGGUUGGUCGUGACGUUGAUUUCAGGCGGGAGCAAAUCCUGGUUGGUCACGAUGUCUGUUUCAGGCAUGAGCAUAACUUGGUUGGUCAUGUCUACAGCCUUGUCGAUUUCAGACUGGAACUUGGCGUGGAAGGUCACCUUGUUGACCUUUAGUUGGAACUUGGUGUGGGAGGUUGUCUCUUUGACCUCAGACAGGAAUUUGGCUUGGCAGGUCGUCUCUUCAACUUUGGACCGGAACAUGGCUUGAGAGGUCGUCUCUUCAACCUCAGACAAGAACUUGGCUUGAGAGGUCAUCUCUUCCACAGGAAAUGGGCUUGAGAGGUCGUCUCUUCGACCUCAGACAUGAUCUUGGCUGGAGAGGUCAUCUCUUCGACCUCAGACAGGAACUUGCUCUGGGAAUGAGACUGCCUCGUGGGUCUCAUGCUGGAGCUCUGCAGGUGAGACUACUUCGUGGGUCUCGUGCUGGAGUUUUGGGGAGCACGUCGUCACGUUGACCUUUGUCUGGAGAUCGGCAGAGGAGACCACAUAGUGGGUCUCAGGAAGGAGCUUAGGGGAGGAGCUCACCCAAUUUGCCUAUUCAUAAUAGGUGGUGAGCGGCACAGCAAGUGUUUCUGUGAGGCAGGCCUCCUCCAAAAGAUCCUCCAGGAUGGCCCUGGAUUCUGGACUGCCGAACACCAUGAUGAAUAGUCCCACAAUCUGAGUUACAUUCUCCAGUCCCCUGGAUCCCAUGGCUACUAGACACUGAACCCACUGGCGGACUGGGCCAAAUAAAACGGGACAACAUGAACCUUAGCCAUUGCAUUUUGCCAGGCUUGGGGUCCACUAGGCUUGAAAAAUAGAGCUGGCAGUCAACAAGAAAAUAUUGAGGGUAGCCAUGAAACCCAUCAUACUGAUCUGGGAGAUCUACAAAAGUCCACUGAGGAAACUGGAUCGAAUCCAAAGCUGGGAUGGUUCACUUGGUUUCCUUAACAUGAUGUCCCCUCCGUCUUCCUGCUGCAUCCAUGGAAACGCUGUUUGGCUGGUGGGGGAGAGUAGCACGGCACAGUGGAGCCAGCCGUCUUUCUCAACAUCAUUUUACAGAGGAAACGUCCACUGGCAAGUGAGAG
ensembl:lncRNA